rnacentral:lncRNA from 1 species
CUCCCCAAGCCUUGCACCGGGAACCCCCUUCAGCCAGUUGGGCUCACACAUCGGCCAUGGUAGCAGUGUUGGGAAGCCCCCCAACACCUCCCACCCCCACCCAGGCCGCGCCAAGUCUAGGACAGACAGCAACACAGGAGCCACCGAGGACCAGGGCCACAGGCAAAAAGACAGCAGCACAAAGGUAAGUCUGCCUCUGCUACACAGCCUUACAUACACUCCCCUACAUACAGUAUUUAUUUGGAGAGUGAAGCUAAAACCUUUAAUUUGGCUCUAUACUCCAGCAUUCUGGAUUGGAGAUUCAUUGUUUUGUAUGAGGAGAAAGUACAGAAUGUCACUUUUUAUUUGAGCGUAUUUUCAUACAUAUCUAUUAUAUCGUUUAGAAAUGAAAGCACUUUAUGUAUCUAGUCCCCCCAUUUGAAGGUGUCUUUGGUUAAAUUAAUUUAUAGUGUAUUAAAGUAGUCAAACGUUUAGUAUUUGGUCCCAUAUUCCUAGCACACAAUGACUACAUCAAGCUUGUGACUCUACAAACUUGUUAGAUGCAUUUGCAGUUUGUUUUAGAUGCAUUUCGGGUUAUGUUGUGCUUAAUAUAAAUUAAUGGUAAAUAAGGUAUCGUCAUUUUGGAGUAACUUUUAUUUUAAAUAAGAAUAGAAUAUGUUUCUGAACACACACAAAGAUCAUGCCCCUCAAAGCAUGCUAACCUGUCACCAUUACCAAUAACAGGAGAGGUUAGCAUUUUAUAUCAUACCCCCAAGACAUGCUAACCUGUCACCAUUACCAAUAACAGGAGAGGUUAGCAUUUUGGGGGGUAUGAUCUUUGUUCCUCUAUAACUUUCUCACCCAGCAUUAUUCACAAUUCGUAUAAGUGAAUUUGUCCAAAUACUUAUGAAAAAUAACAUAUUCAAAUGGGGGACUACAUACAUAAAGUUAUUUCAUUUCUAAAACACAUACUGUAUGAAAAAAAACUCAAAUAAAAUGUGACAUUCUGUACUGUCACCUCAUAUAAAACAUUUGAUCUCAAAUCCAAAAUGGUGGAGUAUAGAGCCAAAUGUACAUAUUUUAGCUUCACUGUCCAAUUACAUACUUAGGGGAGUGUACAUCUUUAGAGACAGGGUUCACUCCCCCAAAGUGGAAAAUAUACCAGUCAACUGUGGACUGUGUGACAUAUUGUAUGGUCAAGUGAUACCCUGAUAGAUGCUCAUAGGUAGAAGUCUUGAUGUGGCGGACGGGCAGGCGAUCAACAGAGUACAAGAUUGAAGGUGACUGAUAGAGAGUUCUUUGUCACCUGUCAUCUUCUCCUGUCUGUGCUGGAGGCUGAGGGCUGGAUGACCUGGGGUCAGGGUGUGUUUGUCUGCCAGGCGCGUCUGUGGCAGCACCACGGUGACAUGUCUGUUGUGUCAUGAUGACAGACAGCAGGCUAAACUGGCACUGAGCUGAUGAACAGCCAGGAGAUGAGAUGAUGGUUCUCACUGGGACACAGAAUCAGUGUCACUCCAGUGUUACUCUUGGUACUGGUUGGUUUCAACCUUAAGGCUGCUGCCGUUGUCAGCAAGAUGAUGGUUUAUUGAGUUAGUGCGGGCGGGAGUGCAUUAGGCUUCUUCAGUGAAUACUUUACCUUGUGUUAGGUGACACAACAACUCAUCUGAAUGUGGUGUGGCCAGACGAGCACCACUAGCAAUGAUCUAAUUUCUAUAUUCUUGUGGUUUUAUAUAACAAUCAUUGUCAGGGUGGAGGUAUAACUGAAGUUGUAAUCAUUGUCAGGGUGGAGGUAUAACUGAAGUUGUAAUCCUGUCAGGGUGGAGGUAUAACUGAAGUUGUAAUCCUGUCAGGGUGGAGGUAUAACUGAAGUUGUAAUCAUUGUCAGGGUGGAGGUAUAACUGAAGUUGAAAUCAUUGUCAGGCUAGACAAGCAGCAUUUACAGUCUCUGUUGUCCUUUUACUUUGGUCAUGGAAACAAUGUGGUCACUUUUCACCUCUGCUAUUUCAAUAUGUGUGUGUUUACAUUAAGGAAAGUGAAAGAGGUCAAGGUUGAGGGCUGAUUAAUCUAAUAAAUUAAUCUAAUAAAUAAAUCUAAUAAAGUACUAUCACCUGACACAUAAUGGAGUGAACAAUGGCAGACACUUUCUACUGGUGGGAAUGUUCUAUUACUCUGUUCCUUCACAACAAGUGGCUAGCAAUACAGCCUGAAUCUAAUCACCAUGGAAACUAAAAAGAAUGUGUCGUCUGCUUUAUAUUACCUCAACAUGCUUAGCAAUUCUAUUAACUGUCUAAAUUUAGUUCAAGAUGUAUCUGUUGUUUUCCUCUUUUGCUCCUUUAACUUUGAUACAGGCCUGGUGUUUAGCUGUUUCCUGUAAAUCAGUGGUGUGAUCCUGAUUAAUGCAGCACUUCAUCGUGUCGGUUAGGUGGUUGAUAUUAGGCAGCUACACAACAGAACGACAGAUGCAUCCAUACACUGCUUCGGUGUCAUAAGCAGACGGUUCUAUAAACAAGGAUGAUAUUCAUUAACAUUGUGACAGUCUACAAAAUGUGUACACAAAUAAAUGCAACGCUGUAGCGUCUUCUGACAUGAAGUUAUCUUUCAUCAGGGUAUGAAAAGGGAAAUGUGAACACAACUCCACCCCCCUUAACUUAUUUAUACAAUCAGUCAUUUCUGGUAGAAUUGUCUUUGGAAAAACAAUGGUAUUUUCCACCAUAUCUGUGUGUUAAUGCAGAAUGUCAUAUCAGUGUAUGGAUGGAUGGUAUAGAUAGAUAGAUUAAAAUGAGGGGAGGGAGGGAGAGGAAACUGUCUGGAAGCCAUCAAACCACAGAGCCUUUUCACAUGACCCCGUAAUGGCCCUGGCUCUCUGGCCUGUCCUCUGUUUCACUCUCCUCCUCCCCAGGGGACCCCCGUUCCCAGGGUCCCUCUCACAUGUACACCAGG